CGCGUAGGCGGUUUGUUAAGUCAGAUGUGAAAGCCCUGGGCUCAACCUGGGAAUUGCAUUUGAUACUGGCUAACUAGAGUAUGGUAGAGGGAAGUGGAAUUCCAGGUGUAGCGGUGAAAUGCGUAGAUAUCUGGAGGAACAUCAGUGGCGAAGGCGACUUCCUGGACCAAUACUGACGCUGAGGUGCGAAAGCGUGGGUAGCAAACA
rnacentral:rRNA from 1 species